rnacentral:tRNA from 1 species
UUAAAUGAAACCAAAUUAGAGGUAAAUCACUGUUAAUGAUUAAACUGAGUAAACACUCCAUUUAAA